rnacentral:tRNA from 1 species
UGAUUAGCUCAGUUGGUAGAGCAGUUGACUUUUAAUCAAUUGGUCGCAGGUUCGAAUCCUGCACGAC